ACGGAGGGAGCUAGCGUUGUUCGGAAUUACUGGGCGUAAAGCGCGCGUAGGCGGCUACUCAAGUCAGGGGUGAAAGCCCGGGGCUCAACCCCGGAACUGCCUUUGAAACUGUUUAGCUUGAGGAUGAGAGAGGUGAGUGGAAUUCCCAGUGUAGAGGUGAAAUUCGUAGAUAUUGGGAAGAACACCGGUGGCGAAGGCGGCUCACUGGCUCAUUACUGACGCUCAGGCGCGAUAGCGUGGGGAUCAAACAGGA
rnacentral:rRNA from 1 species